AGAGUUUGAUCAUGGCUCAGAUUGAACGCUGGCGGCAGGCCUAACACAUGCAAGUCGAACGGUAACAGGAAGAAGCUUGCUGCUUCGCUGACGAGUGGCGGACGGGUGAGUAAUGUCUGGGAAACUGCCUGAUGGAGGGGGAUAACUACUGGAAACGGUAGCUAAUACCGCAUAACGUCGCAAGACCAAAGAGGGGGACCUUCGGGCCUCUUGCCAUCGGAUGUGCCCAGAUGGGAUUAGCUUGUUGGUGGGGUAACGGCUCACCAAGGCGACGAUCCCUAGCUGGUCUGAGAGGAUGACCAGCCACACUGGAACUGAGACACGGUCCAGACUCCUACGGGAGGCAGCAGUGGGGAAUAUUGCACAAUGGGCGCAAGCCUGAUGCAGCCAUGCCGCGUGUAUGAAGAAGGCCUUCGGGUUGUAAAGUACUUUCAGCGGGGAGGAAGGGAGUAAAGUUAAUACCUUUGCUCAUUGACGUUACCCGCAGAAGAAGCACCGGCUAACUCCGUGCCAGCAGCCGCGGUAAUACGGAGGGUGCAAGCGUUAAUCGGAAUUACUGGGCGUAAAGCGCACGCAGGCGGUUUGUUAAGUCAGAUGUGAAAUCCCCGGGCUCAACCUGGGAACUGCAUCUGAUACUGGCAAGCUUGAGUCUCGUAGAGGGGGGUAGAAUUCCAGGUGUAGCGGUGAAAUGCGUAGAGAUCUGGAGGAAUACCGGUGGCGAAGGCGGCCCCCUGGACGAAGACUGACGCUCAGGUGCGAAAGCGUGGGGAGCAAACAGGAUUAGAUACCCUGGUAGUCCACGCCGUAAACGAUGUCGACUUGGAGGUUGUGCCCUUGAGGCGUGGCUUCCGGAGCUAACGCGUUAAGUCGACCGCCUGGGGAGUACGGCCGCAAGGUUAAAACUCAAAUGAAUUGACGGGGGCCCGCACAAGCGGUGGAGCAUGUGGUUUAAUUCGAUGCAACGCGAAGAACCUUACCUGGUCUUGACAUCCACAGAACUUUCCAGAGAUGGAUUGGUGCCUUCGGGAACUGUGAGACAGGUGCUGCAUGGCUGUCGUCAGCUCGUGUUGUGAAAUGUUGGGUUAAGUCCCGCAACGAGCGCAACCCUUAUCCUUUGUUGCCAGCGGUCCGGCCGGGAACUCAAAGGAGACUGCCAGUGAUAAACUGGAGGAAGGUGGGGAUGACGUCAAGUCAUCAUGGCCCUUACGACCAGGGCUACACACGUGCUACAAUGGCGCAUACAAAGAGAAGCGACCUCGCGAGAGCAAGCGGACCUCAUAAAGUGCGUCGUAGUCCGGAUUGGAGUCUGCAACUCGACUCCAUGAAGUCGGAAUCGCUAGUAAUCGUGGAUCAGAAUGCCACGGUGAAUACGUUCCCGGGCCUUGUACACACCGCCCGUCACACCAUGGGAGUGGGUUGCAAAAGAAGUAGGUAGCUUAACCUUCGGGAGGGCGCUUACCACUUUGUGAUUCAUGACUGGGGUGAAGUCGUAACAAGGUAACCGUAGGGGAACCUGCGGUUGGAUCACCU
rnacentral:rRNA from 1 species